GGAUUCAGAAUGUUGAGAUUAAAAAUCACUGUGAGGAGCGUAGAAGACAAGACCCAUAAUUUUUUUAUUACCCUAAUAGGAUUUUAUCAACUGAAAGGUGGGUAACCAUCUCAUUGUGUAGAAGCUUCCUAAAGUGGUGUUGUCAAUUUGUGUGAUAAGUUAAUAUUUUUCCAAAACUUAGUCUUUUUUUUUUCUAUAAUUUUAUCUGCAAUGUUACAAAGUUGUGAACUUUGUGUUGCUUGGAUAUCUUAAGUGUCUCCAUAGGGCGUUAGUCGUUAAUGGUGCCUUGUCAGGUCUAAUGCUGUGUAAAGUUUAUAGUCUUUGUAGGCAUUUUUUGCUUGUUACCAGCAUGAUUCUCUCCUGAUUGAAUCUCGUCGUGUGCUGCAAUUUCAGAAUCUAUGUGAACUCCAUGCUUAGUUAUUAUAAUCGAAGAUGUGUUUAUGAAUAGUUUGAUGUUGCCUUAGUAGAUUGCAAACAUUUGAAUUGUUAAAGUUGGGAAUGUCUAUGGCUACUGUAUUGUGCUUUUAAAUUAUUUAUGCAUUUUAAGAAUCCAAAACCAAUUAUAAAUAUAGAAGCGUACGAAUUUAUAUAAGUUUUUACAUAUGAGUUACCAAUUAUAAGUUUAUAUAUAUAUAUAUAAAGUUUAUUACAUGUAUGAGUCACCUCAAAAUUCAGUGAAUGUAUGGGUCUCUUCACUCAUUUGCUUGAUUAUCACCUUAGCGCUAGUGUUUUUCUUUCAUAUGAAAAAGGGGACAUUCCUGCCUCUGCAGACUUAAAUUUAAGAAUAUGUUUGUAUCUCAUGUAAUACGACAUUGAUUGGUGAAAAAUUGAAAUUGUUAUUUCACCAAUAUUCUUUCUUAUGAGUGUGAAUAUAUAUCGUGCCUUAUUUUUUAAAAAGUUCUAAGUGGAUCACGCUGUCGUCAAUGGAGGCCAAUGCUAGUACUUUUUUACCUGCCAUUUAUAUUUAUAUUUAAUCAUACUUCUAAUAGAGGAGUGAGUACAUUGUUUUGAACCUUUUUUCUAAUCAUAUAGUCCUAGCAAACUGACUUGGAGGAGAGUAGU
rnacentral:misc_RNA from 1 species